UAUAAAAUUAGUUUGGUAAUUUUUUUUGAGAAAGUUUUAUUGCGAGUUAUCCCGUAAAUCAACUAAAUAGCGGGUGUUUGGAUGAUUAUUCAGCUUAAAAUAAAAGGUACGUGGCAGCCAAAGGCCAUAAAACAGUGUCCCGUAUACUCCCCGUCUAUUUAGUACUUCUUUUCUUAUUUCUUUUUCUUUCCUUCAUGCUCAGCAUCACCGUCUCUCUAAUCUCUCACUCUCGUCUCUCUCCCUCUCCCAAAUCACUCUCAAUCUCACCUCUUCCCUCAAUCAAUCUCUCUCGUGUAAUUGCUCUUUCUUCCUCCUGCCGUUGCUACAACCGCCGGGUCUUUGCCGCCGCUUUCUCUUCCGGCCAGAACCACCACCGUGGCACCGCCUGUAUCUUCCUCCUUCCGGCAACCACCAUAGCCCUGCACCAGUUAUAAAUCAGUGGAAUUGAACGAGACGUUGAUCGAGGCAUUGAUCGAGAAGUGAUUGAAAUGGGUAUUCAGAAAUAGCUAAGUUGUGUUGCAAGUUGAAGUUAGGCAGAGAUUUGCUAUAGAUAAAAUCUUGUCAGAAGCUGGCAGAAAGGAAUGAUAUGGCACUACAUAGUGUUAUUAGAAAUCUGAGAUAGACACCGGAGUUAAGAAUUGAACGAGACGUUGAUCGAGGCAUUGAUCGAGAAGUGAUUGAAAUGGGUAUUCAGAAAUAGCUAAGUUGUGUUGCAAGUUGAAGUUAGGCAGAGAUUUGCUAUAGAUAAAAUCUUGUCAGAAGCUGGCAGAAAGGAAUGAUAUGGCACUACAUAGUGUUAUUAGAAAUCUGAGAUAGACACCGGAGUUAAGAUAAUGUUAAAGAUGGUUCGCCUAUUUAGGCUAAGCAUAAGAGUAAGGCUAGGCGAGGAUUGCAAGUGACUAAGUUUCAACCUGAUGGUCAGGAAGAGUAUCCAAGAUCGAGUCUUUGGGACUAGUGGUAAUUAGAGUUGUCUAAAUUUGAUUUAGUUGUAAAAGCAUGUAAUAAGAUUUAUUAGUUUUACUUUUCUGAUUUCAAUAAUAUAGCCUGUUUGCGAUCC